AACUAUCGCUGGCGGCGCGUCUUAAACAUGCAAGUCAAACGGCUAGCAAUAGCAGUGGCGAACGGGUGAGUAAUACAUGGAUAAUCUACCUAAAAGUUGGGGAUAACUCAGAGAAAUUUGGGCUAAUACCGAAUGUGACGGUUUGACAUAGGUCAGAUUGGUUAAAGCAGCAAUGCGCUUUUAGAUGGGUCCAUGGCUGAUUAGCUAGUUGGUAGGGUAAAGGCCUACCAAGGCGACGAUCAGUAGCCGGCCUGAGAGGGUAAACGGCCACAAUGGAACUGAGACACGGUCCAUACUCCUACGGGAGGCAGCAGUUAAGAAUCUUGCUCAAUGGGCGAAAGCCUGAAGCAGCGACGCCGCGUGAACGAUGAAGGUCUUCGGAUUGUAAAGUUCAGUAAGUAGGGACGAAAAAAAUGACGGUACCUACCUAAAGCACCGGCUAACUACGUGCCAGCCGCCGCGGUAACAC
rnacentral:rRNA from 1 species